UGCUCACUGAUAUGUAUUAAAGAGCUGCAGUAUUUUAACUGUACAAAGGUAGCAUAAUCAUUAGUUUUUUAAUUGGAGACUAGAAUGAAAGGUUUGACGUAGUUUAGCUGUCUUUAUUGUAAAAUGUGAAUUUAAUUUGUUUGUGAAAAAGCAGAAAUGAAUUAAAGGGACGAGAAGACCCUAUUAAAUUUAAAUAUAUGAUUUAUUAUUGUUCAUAUGAGUUGUAAAAUAAUUUAUAUAUUUUAUUUGGGGCGAAUGAUAUUAUUAAACAAUAUUAAUAUAUAAUAAUUUAAAUAACUUUUAUUUUGAUCUAAUGUGAUUAAGUUGAAGAAAUAAUUACUGUAGGGAUAACAGCGUAAUAUUUUUUAAGAGUUCAUAUUGACAAAAUAUGUUUGCGACCUCGAUGUUGGAUUAAGAAUUCUAUUUGGCGAAAAGGUUAUAUUAGAUGGUCUGUUCGACCAUUAAAUUCUUACAUGAUCUGAGUUCAAACCGGAG
rnacentral:rRNA from 1 species